rnacentral:rRNA from 1 species
AGAGUUUGAUCAUGGCUCAGAUUGAACGCUGGCGGCAUGCCUAACACAUGCAAGUCGAACGGUAACGCGGGGGCAACCCUGGCGACGAGUGGCGGACGGGUGAGUAAUACGUAGGAAUCUGCCCAGUAGCGGGGGAUAACUUAGGGAAACUUAAGCUAAUACCGCAUACGCCCCACGGGGGAAAGCAGGGGAUCGCAAGACCUUGCACUAUUGGAUGAGCCUACGUCGGAUUAGCUUGUUGGUGGGGUAAAAGCCUACCAAGGCGACGAUCCGUAGCUGGUCUGAGAGGACGAUCAGCCACACUGGGACUGAGACACGGCCCAGACUCCUACGGGAGGCAGCAGUGGGGAAUAUUGGACAAUGGGGGCAACCCUGAUCCAGCAAUGCCGCGUGUGUGAAGAAGGCCUGCGGGUUGUAAAGCACUUUCGAUAGGAAAGAAAAGCUCAGGGCUAAUAUCCCUGAGUGUUGACGUUACCUAGAGAAGAAGCACCGGCUAACUCUGUGCCAGCAGCCGCGGUAAUACAGAGGGUGCGAGCGUUAAUCGGAAUUACUGGGCGUAAAGGGCGCGUAGGCGGUCUUGUAAGUUGGAUGUGAAAUCCCUGGGCUUAACCUGGGAACUGCAUUCAAAACUGCUUGACUAGAGUUUGGUAGAGGGUAGUGGAAUUCCCGGUAGCGGUGAAAUGCGUAGAUAUCGGGAGGAACAUCAGUGGCGAAGGCGGCUACCUGGACCAGAACUGACGCUGAGGCGCGAAAGCGUGGGGAGCAAACAGGAUUAGAUACCCUAGUAGUCC